rnacentral:rRNA from 1 species
GACGAACGCUGGCGGCGUGCCUAAUACAUGCAAGUAGAACGCUGAAGGAGGAGCUUGCUCUUCUGGAUGAGUUGCGAACGGGUGAGUAACGCGUAGGUAACCUGCCUGGUAGCGGGGGAUAACUAUUGGAAACGAUAGCUAAUACCGCAUAAUAGUAGAUGUUGCAUGAUAUUUACUUAAAAGGUGCAAUUGCACCACUACCAGAUGGACCUGCGUUGUAUUAGCUAGUUGGUGGGGUAACGGCUCACCAAGGCGACGAUACAUAGCCGACCUGAGAGGGGGAUCGGCCACACUGGGACUGGGACACGGCCCAGACUCCUACGGGAGGCAGCAGUAGGGAAUCUUCGGCAAUGGACGAAAGUCUGACCGAGCAACGCCGCGUGAGUGAAGAAGGUUUUCGGAUCGUAAAGCUCUGUUGUAAGAGAAGAACGAGUGUGAGAGUGGAAAGUUCACACUGUGACGGUAUCUUACCAGAAAGGGACGGCUAACUACGUG